rnacentral:tRNA from 1 species
GCCAGUAUGGCUCAGUGGUAGAGCAUAGGCCUGCUCACACACCAAAGAGUCUUGGGUUCAAUUCCCCAUUAAAGGCA